rnacentral:rRNA from 1 species
UAGCUAGUUGGUGAGGUAAAGGCUUACCAAGGCGACGAUCUGUAGCGGGUCUGAGAGGAUGAUCCGCCACACUGGAACUGAGACACGGUCCAGACUCCUACGGGAGGCAGCAGUGGGGAAUUUUGGACAAUGGGGGCAACCCUGAUCCAGCCAUGCCGCGUGAGUGAAGAAGGCCUUCGGGUUGUAAAGCUCUUUCGGCCGGGAAGAAAUCGCAUGGGCCAAUACCCUGUGUGGAUGACGGUACCGGAAUAAGAAGCACCGGCUAACUACGUGCCAGCAGCCGCGGUAAUACGUAGGGUGCGAGCGUUAAUCGGAAUUACUGGGCGUAAAGCGUGCGCAGGCGGUUUUGUAAGACAGGCGUGAAAUCCCCGGGCUUAACCUGGGAACUGCGUUUGUGACUGCAAGGCUAGAGUACGGCAGAGGGGGGUGGAAUUCCACGUGUAGCAGUGAAAUGCGUAGAGAUGUGGAGGAACACCAAUGGCGAAGGCAGCCCCCUGGGUCGAUACUGACGCUCAUGCACGAAAGCGUGGGUAGCAAACAGGAUUAGAUACCCUGGUAGUCCACGCCCUAAACUAUGUCAACUAGGUGUUGGGUGGGUAAAACCAUUUAGUACCGUAGCUAACGCGUGAAGUUGACCGCCUGGGGAGUACGGCCGCAAGGUUAAAACUCAAAGGAAUUGACGGGGACCCGCACAAGCGGUGGAUGAUGUGGAUUAAUUCGAUGCAACGCGAAAAACCUUACCUACCCUUGACAUGCCAGGAACUUGCCAGAGAUGGCUUGGUGCCCGAAAGGGAGCCUGGACACAGGUGCUGCAUGGCUGUCGUCAGCUCGUGUCGUGAGAUGUUGGGUUAAGUCCCGCAACGAGCGCAACCCUUGUCGUUAAUUGCCAUCAUUUGGUUGGGCACUUUAACGAGACUGCCGGUGACAAACCGGAGGAAGGUGGGGAUGACGUCAAGUCCUCAUGGCCCUUAUGGGUAGGGCUUCACACGUCAUACAAUGGUCGGUACAAAGGGUUGCCAAGCCGCGAGGCGGAGCCAAUCCCAGAAAGCCGAUCGUAGUCCGGAUUGCAGGCUGCAACUCGCCUGCAUGAAGUCGGAAUCGCUAGUAAUCGUGGAUCAGCAUGUCACGGUGAAUACGUUCCCGGGUCUUGUACACACCGCCCGUCACACCAUGGGAGCGGGUUCCGCCAGAAGUGGGUAGCCUAACCGCAAGGAGGGCGCUUACCACGGCGGGGUUCGUGACUGGGGUGAAGUCGUAACAAGGUAGCCGUAGGGGAACCUGCGGCUG